GGGGAUAUAGCUCAUUUGGUAGAGUGCUUGCCUAGUAUGCACGAGCCACUGAGUUCAAUCUCUAGUGUUGCCA
rnacentral:tRNA from 1 species